UUAAUUUUUGGUGUCCUAGAAACCUCGAAAUUUGGAUUCCUAGGCCACCAACUU
rnacentral:sRNA from 1 species